UUCCGAUAUGCUAACAAACCCAUUGACUGUUUAAUUCUCAUCAGUGUGUUUUGCAACUUCGGUAUAAAUGAAAUUAUUUCAAAUAAUAUUUAUUGUGGCCAGUGUUGUCGCUGUCGUCUCCUGUAAUCCUGGCAAUAACGCAAUGGGUGGAAAUAGCAAUGCAAAGAAUAAACAGACAAUAAGUGACGGCAGAUUUUGCGCUGUAUGUGGUAACCAGCUUUAAAGUUAUUUUGUAAUUUUUCUUGUUUUUCAAAAGUGAGAAAAUCUCAAUUUUAUAUGAUUUAAUAAACAAAGGUUAAAAAUAAUAAUAACUUUUAUUUAUUGAAUAAAACA